rnacentral:rRNA from 1 species
AUUGAACACUGGCGGCAUGCCUAACACAUGCAAGUCGAACGGUAACAGGCCCUUCGGGUGCCGACGAGUGGCGGAUGGGUGAGUAAUACUUAGGAAUCUACCCUGUAGUGGGGGACAACCCGGGGAAACUCGGGCUAAUACCGCAUACGCUCUACGGAGGAAAGCGGGGACCGCAAGGCCUCGCGCUAUUGGAUGAGCCUAAGCCCGAUUAGCUAGUUGGUGGGGUAAUAGCCUACCAAGGCAAUGAUCGGUAGCUGGUCUGAGAGGACGACCAGCCACACUGGGACUGAGACACGGCCCAGACUCCUACGGGAGGCAGCAGUGGGGAAUAUUGGACAAUGGGCGAAAGCCUGAUCCAGCGAUGCCGCGUGUGUGAAGAAGGCCUGCGGGUUGUAAAGCACUUUCAGUAGGGAAG